rnacentral:tRNA from 1 species
UAAGAGUUAAAGCCUCUUCAACUCCU